UAUUUAUACUAUUUCCUUUUCAAAAUAAAUGCAUAGUUCCCUUUGUAUGGUUACUGUGUCAAUUUUUUUUCAAAUUUUAAUUAUUUAUUUAUUUUUGUAGAUGUACACUGCCAAAUGGAAGAAAUUAAAGUUGCAUCCUCAAUAUUAGGCAAAGAAGUUUCUCAGAGUUGAUAACAACGAAAAUGGCAUGAAGGGAAUAGUUCCACUAGGACUUGAUUCAGCAGAGGAAGAAGAUGAGGAAACUGAGACUUAGAUCAAGUAGUUUCCCAAAGUCACAUGGCAAGUGAGUGGAACAGCCAGGAUUCAAACCCAACCAGUUACCAUGAAAUUGGCUAGUCUACUGCAACAACCCACAAAACUCUCUAGGAAAACAGAGGGACGGCAGCAGACCAUGUGCAAAAUGGAAAAGUCGAGCAAGAGCAGUGAAUCCGGUGAUGUCAGCAAUAUGGAGGCCAAGGUCUAAGGUAAGAGAACGCAGCUGCCCUGCAAGUAGGAAUGGAGUUGGAGACGGCUGGAGCACAGGACUGAGGUUUUGUUGUUGUUAUAAACAGAGGACUAUUCUAUUUUUGAAAACUUUUUACAAGUACAAC